CCUACGGGGGGCAGCAGUGGGGAAUAUUGCACAAUGGGGGAAACCCUGAUGCAGCGACGCCGCGUGAGUGAAGAAGUAAUUCGUUAUGUAAAGCUCUAUCAGCAGGGAAGAAAAUGACGGUACCUGAGUAAGAAGCCCCGGCUAACUACGUGCCAGCAGCCGCGGUAAUACGUAGGGGGCAAGCGUUAUCCGGAUUUACGGGGUGGAAAGGGAGCGUAGACGGCAUUGCAAGUCUGGAGUGAAAGGCGGGGGCUCAACCCCCGGACUGCUCUGGAAACUGUACGGCUGGAGUGCAGGAGAGGUAAGUGGAAUUCCUAGUGUAGCGGUGAAAUGCGUAGAUAUUAGGAGGAACACCAGUGGCGAAGGCGGCUUACUGGACUGUAACUGACGUUGAGGCUCGAAAGCGUGGGGAGCAAACAGGAUUAGAUACCCCUGUAGUC
rnacentral:rRNA from 1 species